rnacentral:rRNA from 1 species
GAUGAACGCUAGCGGCAGGCUUAAUACAUGCAAGUCGAGGGGCAGCAGGACUGUAGCAAUACAGUUGCUGGCGACCGGCAAACGGGUGCGGAACACGUACGCAACCUACCCAAAACUGGGGGAUAGCCCGGGGAAACCCGGAUUAAUACCUCGUAACCUUUUUAAGUGGCAUCACUUGAUAAGUAUAGCUCCGGCGGUUUUGGAUGGGCGUGCGCCUGAUUGGGUAGUUGGUGCGGGUAACGGCCCACCAAGCCUGCGAUCAGUAACUGGUGUGAGAGCAGGACCAGUGACACGGGGACUGAGACAAGGGCCCGACUCCUACGGGAGGCAGCAGUAAGGAAUAUUGGUCAAUGGACGAAAGUCUGAACCAGCCAUGCCGCGUGAAGGAUGAAGGUCCUCUGGAUUGUAAACUUCUUUUAUGGGGGACGAAACCCGGAUAUUCUUAUCCGAUUGACGGUACCUCAGGAAUAAGCACCGGCUAACUCCGUG